AGUGAACGCUGGCGGUAGGCCUAACACAUGCCAGUCGAACGGCAGCACAGUAAGAGCUUGCUCUUACGGGUGGCGAGUGGCGGACGGGUGAGGAAUACAUCGGAAUCUACUUUUUCGUGGGGGAUAACGUAGGGAAACUUACGCUAAUACCGCAUACGACCUACGGGUGAAAGCAGGGGAUCUUCGGACCUUGCGCGAUUGAAUGAGCCGAUGUCGGAUUAGCUAGUUGGCGGGGUAAAGGCCCACCAAGGCGACGAUCCGUAGCUGGUCUGAGAGGAUGAUCAGCCACACUGGAACUGAGACACGGUCCAGACUCCGACGGGAGGCAGCAGUGGGGAAUAUUGGACAAUGGGCGCAAGCCUGAUCCAGCCAUACCGCGUGGGUGAAGAAGGCCUUCGGGUUGUAAAGCCCUUUUGUUGGGAAAGAAAAGCAGCAGGUUAAUACCCCGCUGUUCUGACGGUACCCAAAGAAUAAGCACCGGCUAACUUCGUG
rnacentral:rRNA from 1 species